CUGUUUAUUCUACAAGUACUUUAUUUAGCAUGUGACAGCGUCUGUGGUACAGGCACCAUUUGGGUGGUAAAACAGCAGUAGGCUAAAAACUAAAGAGGUUCAACACGUACCGGCAUUGGAGCCAGUACCUAGACAAGAGGUUCAACACGUACCGGCAUUAGGAGCCAGUAC